UGAUGAUGAAAAUGAUGAUGAUGAUGGUGAUGAUGAUGGUGAUGACAACGAUGACAAUGAUGAUGAUUAUCAUCAUCAUCAUCAUCAUCAUAGCAA
rnacentral:pre_miRNA from 1 species